rnacentral:tRNA from 1 species
CUUUGGCGCAACGGCAGCGCGGCUGAUUUGUAAUCAGCAGGCUGCGGGUUCAAAUCCCGCAGG